rnacentral:rRNA from 1 species
UACGGAGGGGGCUAGCGUUGUUCGGAAUUACUGGGCGUAAAGCGCACGUAGGCGGUUUUGUAAGUUAGAGGUGAAAGCCCGGGGCUCAACUCUGGAAUUGCCUUUAAGACUGCAUCGCUAGAGUUGUGGAGAAGUAAGUGGAAUUCCGAGUGUAGAGGUGAAAUUCGUAGAUAUUCGGAAGAACACCAGUGGCGAAGGCGACUUACUGGACACAUAUUGACGCUGAGGUGCGAAAGCGUGGGGAGCAAACAGG